CUCUCAGUGCAGGUCGGUGGCUGGCCUGCUCUCCAGACUUUUCACCUUUUGAGUGGCACCUCUGGAACUUGUUAAAAGGGAAGAGGGUGCAGGACCCCAGUCGCAAACCUUGGAAGUGCUGAAGAAUGCCACAACAUCACAGCUGCUCAACUGAGACCAGAAGACUGACUGAUACUACCACUGAUGUCACUUCUGGUGUCUGUCCACUUCGAUCAUCCACUUCCUGCAGGAAGGACCUAAAACAAGAUACAUGACAGAGGUCCCCACUAUCUCCGAUGCUUUUUGCAUUUUCUACUGAGCCAUUGGCUGUUCAUCUCUGGAGGAAACUGGAGAUAAAGGGGAGUAUCAGAGAAAGACUCAAACACAAAAUUUAAAUUUAUGCAGAAGAUAUGGUGCUCUAUAUAUGAGACUCAUAAUGAUCUUUACCAUUAGUCUUAAAUGUGUUAGGAGAACAUUUUAAGAUUUUGGGUUUCAAAAUUAAUCUGAGUAAAAGUGUGCUUUUCCUAGUGAAUUCUAUAGCAUAUCAUUUUAGAUUGGAUAGUUAUUCAUUCAUAAUAAUUUUUGGGGAUAACCAUAACAAGUAAAGGCAAUUUUCUUCCAUAAUACAAUUUUGGAAGUGCUAUUGAUAAAAUCAAUGAAGAUGUAAAAUUGGUCCACCAUCCAGCUCAUCCUAGCUGUGAGAAGUAACACUGUCAUAUUAAGUACAGCAUUUGACACCAUUGACCAUUCUAUUUUACUGCACAGGCUAGAAUAUGAUAUUGGGCUCACAGGCCCCGUUGCUCGCUUGGUUUAGUUCUUAUUUAUCAAAUCGAUUCCAAUAUGUACAGAAAUGUGCUGACAGUACUCCAUCAUUAUACACAGAAGUUCAAUA